rnacentral:rRNA from 1 species
AUUGAACGCUGGCGGCAGGCCUAACACAUGCAAGUCGAGCGGAUGAGAGGAGCUUGCUUCUCGAUUCAGCGGCGGACGGGUGAGUAAUGCCUAGGAAUCUGCCUGGUAGUGGGGGACAACGUUUCGAAAGGAACGCUAAUACCGCAUACGUCCUACGGGAGAAAGCAGGGGACCUUCGGGCCUUGCGCUAUCAGAUGAGCCUAGGUCGGAUUAGCUAGUUGGUGAGGUGAUGGCUCACCAAGGCGACGAUCCGUGACUGGUCUGAGAGGAUGAUCAGUCACACUGGAACUGAGACACGGUCCAGACUCCUACGGGAGGCAGCAGUGGGGAAUAUUGGACAAUGGGCGAAAGCCUGAUCCAGCCAUGCCGCGUGUGUGAAGAAGGUCUUCGGAUUGUAAAGCACUUUAAGUUGGGAGGAAGGGUUGUAGAUUAAUACUCUGCAAUUUUGACGUUACCGACAGAAUAAGCACCGGCUAACUCUGUGCCAGCCGCCGCUGUAAAAC